rnacentral:lncRNA from 1 species
AGGAUAUUUAUAUAUUAGUAGUCCCUUUAGCAUAUGAGAAUAAUGAUCUUUAUCUGUUAUUUACUAUAGUCACUUUUUGAGAUUUUGGUUUUUCCUAGUAAUUUCCCAGGUUCAGAUGUUUGUCAGUUUUCAGCAUUUCAUUCUCUUUUUCUGUAGUGGGGUCUUGAGGAAUGAGGCUCAAGUAUGUAAUUCUCAGUGUUCAUUGUCUCACAAACUGUGUUAAAAGGAAACAUUUACUGUGAGCAUCAAGAGUUAAAUUGUGACAAUAAUGUUAUGUUAACCUCUUGCUCCUUUAAAGUAUGUAAUCCAAUAUUUAUCACUUCAGCUAGCUACAAACUCCAGCGUACAAGAACUGCCUCACUCGUCACACCUCUGUGACUGCCUUUUUUUUUUUUGGUGCCAGGGAUUGAACUUGGGACCUUGCACUUGCGAGACAGGUGCCAGAACCACUGAGCUAAAUCCCUGGCCCCUCUGUGACUGCUUUAUCAACAAUGUACAGCCCAUAUUUGAGAGCGCAUGCCAUCUUCUGAAACAGCAGAGAAAUUUUAGUAAAAACAGUGCUAUUAAACCCAUCAGGAUACUUCUCCAAUAUUUGAGUAGAGCAAGCUAAUAAUUCUACGUGGAUAAUAAAAGAGCUUUACAGACUUUUUUUAAAUAUUCUAAAGGUCAAACUUAAAGAGAGAUUAAAAUAUGAAAGAGCUCUACAAUGGCUGACAGUGGUCAGGUAUUCACUAUUCUCUUCCCCUUAGGGCCUAUUGCAGAUGUGGGGUGAUAGCAAUGAGGUGCAGCAGGGGCCAUUUUUACUGUGUCAUGGUACUGAGGAGACUGGAGCCGUUGAUGGUCAUGCUGGGGGUGUCUAGUGCAGCUCAGAAAAACAACUGGACUUUGGGAAACUUAGUCUUUCCUUUUUAGAUGGGACAGAUUGAGACUACCACCAAAGUUUAAAAAGAUGCUCGUUCAACUUGAAUCUGAUGGGUUUUUUAAAUGAUGGACUAUAUCAGACACAGAAGAGGUAGAGUCUCCAAAUUGCUUCAUGUUUCCACAUAACUAGAGUACUUGAAUCUGUUUAAACAUUUCUCUCCCUACUGAAACAUUACUUCUAAAUAAUCUUGUUCAAAAAGUCUUUUUAAGAAAAUUACAUGAAUUCUAGAGAUAGAUUCUUCCUGUCUCACUGUUCCUUUGUACAAUUUCCUGCAUUACCUCG